GCGCUAGCUGUGUAAAUCCCAUCCAGCAGCCUGACAGAGCAGCAGUGACACAGCCAGCGGCGUCAGCGUUGUAGUCAACUUAAAAUGCCAUUGCCUGGUAUUAUUUCAUUAUUUGUGUUCAGCUUAAUGAUGGAGUCUUUGGAGACAGUACUCCAGAAGGCAGUUGAUCUGGGAGAUGCUGUGGAGCUUCGCUGUAUUAUCUCAUACCACUAUGAGAUUACCUGGAUGAGGCAGGGCCCCAACGAAGUCCCCACCAUCCUUUUGGUCGCAAAGCUUGAAGAUGCGGGGAAGGUUGGUUAUGUCUACCAACGAAGCAAACAUUUCAUCGGAGUCAGUUCAAAUCGCUCAAUCUCUCUGAUGAUUAAGGGAAUCACAAAAGCUGAUUAUGCUCUGUAUUACUGUGCUGGGAAAGAUACAAAAAUUUUGAACUUUGGAAAUGGAACCCAACUUCUCGCUCCAGAUGACCACAGCGGCUGGGCCAGCCCGCUCUUCUACCAGCUGUACGCCGCCCUGCAGGGCCUCGGGCUGCUGGGGAUGAUCUCCGCUCUCGCUGCCGUUCACCUGAAGAGCCGGAAGCAGCGAGUGUGAAAAACCGCUGCACUGCCCUUCAGUCCGGGGUGGACGUCAUAAUUUAUUGGAGUUUUAGGCAAAACAGUAUACAGUUUUGUUCAAGAAAAUAGCAGUACAACAUCAGUAACCUGAUGAACCACUGUUAUUAGUAGUAGUGAUAUUUUUGCAUGGCGGCACGGAUGGUGCAGUGGGUAGCACUGCCACCUCACAGCAAGGAGGUCCUGGGUUCGAAUCCCCGUCGGCCGGGGCCUCUCUGUGCGGAGUUUGCAUGUUCUCCCCGUGUUUGCGUGGUUUUCCUCCGGGUACUCCGGUUUCCUCCCACAGUCCAAAGACAUGCAGGUUAGGCUGAUUUUAAUUAGAGUUUAAUUAGAGAAUUAAUUCAUUCUGUGAAAAAAACUGGUGUCAUUAAUUGUCCUUUAUUAAGAAAUGGGUGAAAUGGGUGUUUCAACUAGACAACAACCGCAAACACACGAGUAAGCAAGCAACAUCUAAGGCUCCAGACAAAAUGGAUUGAGGAGUGGCCCGCUCAAUCCCCCGACCUCAACCCCAUUGAAAAUGCAGUUUCUGAAGCAAAACCCAAAAAUUCACAGGAACUGUGGAAUGUAGUUUGUUCAUCCUGGGCUGACAUAUCUGUUUCUAGGUGCCAGAAGUUAUUGAAAACAAUGGUUAUGCAACUAAAUAUUAGUUCAGUAAUUUAAAGUGAAGUUAAAUCUUGAAAAAUGUGAACACUGCCAUUUUUCUGAACAGACUAAUAAUCCUUUUCUUUGCUUCCUGUAACAGAAUAACAGACUUGAUAAAAUUUGCUAAUGCCUUGAUUUGGAAUUGAAUGUGUAAAUUUGAAAUAUUGCACUAAACUCUAUUUAAAAAAUAUUUGCACUUUAUUCAUUUUUUAAUCCAAUUUUUUCUCUUUUUUCUCCCAAUUUGGUAGCCAAUUGUACCCCGUCUGAUUCAAUUAGUGCUUGUAUUGGAUACACCGCCCACACCCUGUCCCUCGGCGGCCGGCAGGAGAGCGACACGCCUUCUUCAAGCCGUCUCGUCUCACAAGUCGUGACCGUGAUUCCGAGGCGCUCGAGGUAACACCUCGAGCGUUAUCAGCGUUAGUGCGGCGAUCUACUAACCCUGCCAAGUCCCUCCCUCUGGAGCAGCGAGCCAAUUAUUGCUGCACCACGUGAGCCGGCCAAACUUGGCUUUUGGCAGGACCGAGAAUCGAAGCCCGGUCCCCAGUGUGUUACUGCAGCAAACUGCAACCGCAAGUCUGCUGCGUCUUAGCCUGUUGUGCCACCACAGCUCCUUUUUUAUUUAUUUUUAAUAAAAGGCACUGCCUUUUAUUUGAACACAACUGUUGUGUACUUUCUCAAUGAAACGCUUUAAAUUCAUACAUUUGGUAGGUUAGUUUUUAUUCCAAAGAAAAGUCUUUACUGACCAACAGGUUGACUGCAUUGUGUCUUUGUACUGAUAGAGAAUGGGGGAAGAAAAGUGAUGUUCAUUUGAGAUUAAUGUGACAAAUGUGACUAACUGAAGAGCACUAGCUCCCACUACAGGACAAAAUAAUUACAAAGGCCCUUCCUGAUGUGAAGUUUACCUGUAUCUUACUGAUCCAAACUCCCAACAGUUCAAUCAUACCACCACCUACCUCUGAUGGCCUAAUGGAACAGCUGAAAAGUCCCUGCAAAUAAACCGUUAACCAUUAACACUCUUUUCCCAAGGUCCACCUCUCACUCAACCACUCUUUGCACCUUCGCUCUAUGGUGAAACGUCUAUGGUCCCUCAAAAACACUGGCGAUGCUUUACUGUGUUUAUUAACCUUUUAUUAACCAUAUUUUCAGCAACUACGGCCAAACAUCCGCAAAUAUAGCGGGAAAUUAUACAAGUGCCAACAUUUCUAAGCACCAGAUAGGAAGAGACCAGUCUAACCUGAUUGGUGCAGCUGAUGGAGAUGUCUUCCCACUCAGUAAGAAUGGUGUUGAUUACUACAGGAGAUGCACUCUAGUGAAAAGAGAGGUAUACCAUUCCAGGUAUGCAGCACCCUGGCACAGCAUUCACUGUGGAUAAUUACCACUCACUCACACAAUAAUAUCUCAAAUAAAAUAAAAAAUCAUUCCUCACUUUAAAUCAUGGUAAGUGAACAUAUUCAGUUUCAGAACAGAUCUUUAAAGCCGCUAAGGUAUUAAAAUACAUGUACAAAACAAUGAAAAGACCAGAGUUUGAAUGUUAGUAUGCGUGUCAGAACACAAGCACUGCAGUGUAAUGUACUGGGUGAAGGCAAUGCCAGUGAUGCAUUCAUUCUGAUAACCAACGUUACAAAAUAAAUGCUUCAUUAACAGUAAAGACACAGAACAUUACUCCAUUCUUUGUAAUACACAACACUGAUAUAAUUGUGCAUCUGAUAUUAAAGAUAUAACUAGUGUCCACACAGUGUCUAUAAAUCCAGGCUUAAAUCUCAGUCAAAUUUCAGGGCACAAAUGAGUAAUUGAUGUCUUUAUUAAUUAAACUGAGAAACUGAGUUUCAAUUUCAUGGUUAAGCAUUUGAAAGUAUGUUUUGUUAAUUGAAGAGGAAGGUUUUUUUUAUUUUCAUGUUUACUGUACAAAUGAACAAAGUGUGCAAGCAAAAAUGAUUGUGUGCAUGUCCACACAGCUGAGAAAUUACUGAAUGACCUUUGACCUCAAUGGAGGCUAAAUGGCACAAAUGCUGCUAAUAAAGAUCUAUUCAGUUCCUUAAAGGGAUACUGCAUUCUGGGGUUUCAUAGCAUUUUGGAUGCAUGUUUUUGAUUGGCUUGUGCAGUUUGUGUAAUGAAUGAUAGUUUAGAUACUUGAAAAUGUUUCUGAUAACGUGCUGUGCACAAUGGUAGGCAUAGGACAGGGGUUUGGAGAACCAUAUCACUGAACAAGCUCCUAUGGAGUGACCUGAUUGUUUUUUUUAUAAUUGUCAUUCUCUGACCAAUACACCAGAGCAAAUACCUAAUACAUGUAAAUGUAUAUCGCAAAUAAAGUUGAUUUGAUUUGAUUUGAUAAAAACACAAAUCAUAAAACAGAAAGUGAGGCAUCCCUUUAAAGAACAGAAGAUGAGCUGGAAUGGUGGUCUUAUUACAUGAAUCAUUUCAUUUUUAGUUUGCCUACACAAGUACUUCUUUAUUUUCCA